CGGUGUUUAACUGGCGUGAUGUGGGACGUCCUACCGGUGGGCUUAGCCUCGCGAGGGGCGGCCCAACUAAUAUCCCGUCGCGGUGCUCUUUACUGAGUGUCGAGUCGGGCCGGUACGUUUACUUUGAACAAAUUAGAGUGCUUAAAGCAGGCUAUCCUCGCCUGAAUACUGCGUGCAUGGAAUAAUGGAAUAGGACCUCGGUUCUAUUUUGUUGGUUUUCGGAACCCCGAGGUAAUGAUUAAUAGGGACAGAUGGGGGCAUUCGUAUUGCGACGUUAGAGGUGAAAUUCUUGGAUCGUCGCAAGACGGACAGAAGCGAAAGCAUUUGCCAAAAAUGUUUUCAUUAAUCAAGAACGAAAGUUAGAGGUUCGAAGGCGAUCAGAUACCGCCCUAGUUCUAACCAUAAACGAUGCCAGCUAGCGAUCCGCCGAAGUUCCUCCGAUGACUCGGCGGGCAGCUUCCGGGAAACCAAAGCUUUUGGGUUCCGGGGGAAGUAUGGUUGCAAAGCUGAAACUUAAAGGAAUUGACGGAAGGGCACCACCAGGAGUGGAGCCUGCGGCUUAAUUUGACUCAACACGGGAAACCUCACCAGGCCCAGACACCGGAAGGAUUGACAGAUUGAUAGCUCUUUCUUGAUUCGGUGGGUGGUGGUGCAUGGCCGUUCUUAGUUGGUGGAGCGAUUUGUCUGGUUAAUUCCGAUAACGAACGAGACUCUAGCCUGCUAAAUAGGCGUACCUUAUGGUAUCGCGAAGGCCCCCGGCUUCGGCCGGUGGGUUUUUACUACCAACGUACAAACAAAUCUUCUUAGAGGGACAGGCGG
rnacentral:rRNA from 1 species